GCGCUCCCAAGGCAGCAAACAACAAGCGGGUCACACACACACACACAGAGAGAGAGAGAGAGAGAGAGAGAAGGAAGGAGCAAGGAUGGGUCAGAGCCCCCUUGUCCGGCUGCCGGUGGCGGAGCAGGUUCAGCCAGAGGUGGCGACCGGGGGCAGCAACAGGAAGGAACAAUCUGGCAAGCCUACAAAAGCUACAAAUAAAUACUACAAAAACUCAAGCAAAGAUGAUCUAGUUUUAAGGGCGACACUGGACUCAAUUACUAGAAUUGGAUAAAAUUGCAAUCCGGUGAUGAAAAGGAACAUGAAAUUACCGGCAAUUGCACAAAUAUCACCUUGUCCACUUAUUGUUUGUAAGAGAAUGCAGCUGUGCCGCUUGCCGUCUAUAAUUUUGUCAAGAAAAGGAAAAAAUGUUGCAUCUAUAGGCCUUGUACUUUCAAGCUUUUGGCUCACUAAUGAUUUAUGUACUACAGUUCAUGUAUUGUUCAAACAUGUGAGUUUGAAGUACUUUGAAUGUAUUAACUUAUUGUCCUUCAAAAAUCCAUGUCUCCCUCUAUCAAUUACUCCCAUAAUAUAAAAGCGUUUUUUA